GCCCUUCCUACGGGAGGCAGCAGGGGGGAAUAUUGGUCAAUGGGCGGAAGCCUGAACCAGCCAUGCCGCGUGCGGGAAGAAGGCGCUACGCGUCGUAAACCGCUUUUGUCCGGGGGUAACCGCGGGGACGUGUCCCCGCCUGCAAGUACCGGACGAAUAAGGGUCGGCUAACUCCGUGCCAGCAGCCGCGGUAAUACGGAGGACCCGAGCGUUAUCCGGAUUCAUUGGGUUUAAGGGGUGCGCAGGCGGCCCGGUCAGUCAGCGGUGAAAUGCCCGCGCUUCACGCGGGAGCUGCCGUUGAUACUGCCGGGCUAGAAUCUCAGCGAGGCGGGCGGAAUGCGCGGUGUAGCGGUGAAAUGCAUAGAUAUCGCGCAGAACGCCGAUUGGGGAGCCAGCUCGCCAGCUGGGUAUUGACGCUGAGGCACGGAAGCGUGGGGAUCGAACAGGAUUAGAUACCCUGGUAGUCCACGCCGUAAACGAUGAUGGCUCGCUCUUGGCUGGAAACGGUCAGGGGCCUAGCGAAAGCGUUAAGCCAUCCACCUGGGGAGUACGCCGGCAACGGUGAAACUCAAAGAAAUUGACGGAAGGGC
rnacentral:rRNA from 1 species